AAACUAAAAAAAAACUCUAGAUCCUGAGAUAAAUCAGAAUUUACCUCACUUUGGCUCUGAUACCAACUGACGCGAAACCCUAUGGCACAAGCCUCAAACCCACACGCACAAGUAGAUAUGGAAUCCAAAGAUUUGAUAAACCCACCUCCUAUGGCACCCCAUACUUAGAGAAGCUGAAACACCAAUGAUCGAAGGAUUUAGAUGAGAAUCUGACAAACGCCACAACGAAUAGUUGAUAAGUAAGCCAAGAUUCCUAGUGCAAUUGAUGAAAGCAAAUCCUCACUCUCACUCAAAGCAAUACACGCCAAAAGCAUGAGAAGAAUUCUGAA
rnacentral:lncRNA from 1 species